AAAGUUGAAAUUCUAAAUUGGGCUAAACUGAAAUUGGAACACUGUUCUUGAAGUCGGUUCUACAGUUUGAUUGGUUGGGCUUGAGCCCAAUGCUACCAUUUUUCAAAACCCCAAAUCACAUUUAUUUUUUGCCAAAACCCCUUUUUUUUUCCUUUUUUUUUUGUGUCAGAUUACCAAAACAAAACCUAAUGAGGUCGUUUGGUACGACAAACUCAUGGACUAGAUUAAAUCCUGAGAUUGUCUCGGAUUAGCUUGGAUUGGCCUAAGUUGGAUUAAGUACUGAUCUACAUUUGGUGCUGCGUCAAACUACGAAGUUGGAUUGUAAAAAUAGUGAAGACCUAUGUUUGGUGCUAUGCCGGACUAAAAAAUAAUUAUUUUAACAUUUAAAAUUA
rnacentral:lncRNA from 1 species